AUCGGUAUGGGAUGGGGUCGCGUCCUAUCAGCUUGAUGGCGGGGUAACGGCCCACCAUGGCUUCGACGGGUAGCCGGCCUGAGAGGGCGACCGGCCACAUUGGGACUGAGAUACGGCCCAGACUCCUACGGGAGGCAGCAGUGGGGAAUAUUGCACAAUGGGCGCAAGCCUGAUGCAGCGACGCCGCGUGCGGGAUGACGGCCUUCGGGUUGUAAACCGCUUUUGACUGGGAGCAAGCCCUUCGGGGUGAGUGUACCUUUCGAAUAAGCACCGGCUAACUACGUGCCAGCAGCCGCGGUAAUACGUAGGGUGCAAGCGUUAUCCGGAAUUAUUGGGCGUAAAGGGCUCGUAGGCGGUUCGUCGCGUCCGGUGUGAAAGUCCAUCGCUUAACGGUGGAUCCGCGCCGGGUACGGGCGGG
rnacentral:rRNA from 1 species